UCCAAUCCAAACCAUUAUGCAAACUCCAAUGAUGAUGAGUCCAAGCUUUUGCAUUGCGGUUGCAACCUCUAUGCCCUAAAAGAACUAUGUAUUUGUUCCUUUUAUCAUUCACGUUUGAAAUAAGGUUUGAUAAAAUGGAGGAAAGAAUAGUUGAAGAUGGAGUUGAUUACUUCAGGACACACUGACUUCACCAAAAAGAACCACUUGAUCCAACUUGGUGUUUCUACGUAUUCUUCUCCUCUACAAACACCUUGGAAAAUUGCUUUUGCGCAUCUACUAACUGGCUCCGAUACCAUAAAAUCUGAACCGUGCUAUUAUAAAGAAAAGAAAUACAAACACAAAACACAUAAUUAACUUAUUUUUAUAUAAAACUUAUUUAUUUAUUUUGUUGAAAAUUCUAGUUGGAUGGAAAAUGGUUUGUAAAAGUACUUACUCUUUUUAUAAUCUCAGGAGUUGUCAUAUCCGUGGAGAUUAGUCCAGGAAAAACAAUGGUUACUUUUAUAUCCGGAUUGAGUUCAAUUCUCAGUGCCUCAUAAAAUCCUAACAAUGCUGAUUUGCUUGCCUACAACAAUAAUUAAUCAAGUAACAUCGGCAUUAUCAAACUAUUAAUUAACUCAAAAAAUUAAUAUUAUUUAAGUAUGUAACUAAUACGUCACCAACGUGUGGCCGGUGGAGGUCUACAUGUGAAUUUGAAUGGUGAAGAUUCUUUUUGUAAACUAACAUAUUAGAUGUCGUAAUUUAUAAAAAAACCAAAUCUUUUUUAUAUAUGUUACAAUAAAACAUAGGAAAUAAGUAUGAACAUAUUUCAUAUAUGUUAAGAAGAAGAAAUCUUACAGAAUAGAUGGUUGCCACUGGGAUAGCUAUCUUUGCUGCAGCAGAAGCAAUCACAACUAUUUUUCCUUUACUUUUUCGUAGAUGGGGAAUUGCAUAAUAAGUGAUGUUUGUUGAGCCCCAGAAGUUGGUAUCCUUUAACAUAUACAGAAUUCAAGUAAAUAAUGUUUAUAUGUGGAGAAAUAGAGCUUGAUUAAGUCAUUUUUGCACGUAAACAACAAAAUAUUCCACAUAAUGUAUACAUUUUAUGAAAAUAGUCGUUUGGAUAUAUGAUAAACAUACAUGUAAUUUUAGUACAAAGGGCCUUUUACAUGGAAAUUCAUAGGAUAUGCAUGAAUCAUCCAUUCACUUAUGAAAUUUAAACCAUCUAAGUCCGUAUUUUGGUAUGAGAUAAUAAUUUCAUUAUAUCACCAUCCACAUUUCAAAACCGGUAAAAUGCAUGUUAUUGAUCAAGAAAAGGUUUUAAGUAAUAAAGUUAUAAAAGUGGUUAUAUCUAUUUUUCCACAUAUGUAUACAUUUACUCUUGGAAGUGGUUAAAUUUCAUGUAUAUAUAUAAUGAUGAACUAUAAUAAAUUCAGGCAUUCUUACUUAGUAAAUUUUAACUUAGAUUUUAGUAUAUGACAACAAUAUGAAUGUGUCUUCCAUUAAUAACUCACCAUUAUAGGAUUAGCGUCUUGAAUCUGGGAGAAAUUCUCAAACAAAACAGUUUGAGAUACACCAGCAUUAUUAAUUAAAUGGUCCACUGUCAAAAUAUAACAACUCGAUUAGAAUAAGCGCAUGAAGAGCUGGAAGAGAGUGACAGUGAAGAGGAGCUGGAUGAGACAAACACUACAAUUGGAUACAAGGAGCUGGAUGGGAGUUCAAUUGGAUUUAACUCAGCACGAGACCCAUUCUCUUUCUCCAAUGGGCCAAUAACCAGAUCAAAGACAAGACAAUUAAAGGAGGCAAUUCUCAGAUUGGUUUACACUAAACCAAUCUCGACAUCUGAAGAAAACCAAGUCAAAGAAGCCUUGAAGAUAUUCAAUUGUUCAAUCUUCAACACUACCUAGUUUUACUUAAGAUAUUUUCGAAAACUACAAGUCCUUGGUGACUCUUUGCUUUCCUUUCUUUCUACUUAAACUCUCUGCAAGAUCUGAAUAAAAUCAAUCACUUUUGUUAUCAAAAAUUCUCUCUAAACUUGUGAUUCCUUUGUUCAGUUUUUGGACAUCGAAUUUGGCUAGAAGAGUGAUCUUCCUUAAGCCUUGAUCUUGUUCACUAGUGGGGCUGCCUCUCACGGACUAAGAUCAUCCCAAUCAGUGCCUGAUCAUUCCGCAGAUCAUCACUGAAACCAUCUCUACCAUCGAUCACCAAUCCCCUUUCUAUCAACUCAUCAAUCGAUCAUCUUUCCAUCAGUGUUAGUAACCUGAUCCAUCACCACCAAAUCAUUACCAGAUCGACCCUCAAGAGCAUCCUAGGGUUCUUCCUUGACCAGGAAGCUAUUAAGUGGUAUCAGAGCAGCUUGAGGGCUUCUAAUCAAAGGGGUUUGUCGAUUCAAUUCUUCUCUCUCUGUUUUGGGAACCUAUUUUCCUUUUCUGAUUCUCUGCAACUCUCUGCAGUUUUCUUUUUCUCUUUACUUUCUAUCUGUUGUAUCUGCAAGGGGGCCAACCAGUAUAAAAAAAAAAAAAAAAAAAGACUAACUUAUUUGUCUUUCUGUAUGAUAAACAUUCGGGUGGCUAUAGUAAAUCUCCACCAAAAUCUGUACGAUAGUGAACGUACAUGCGGUGCCGAUAACAAUUUUACAGAAUAUCGCAUCUCGUCAACACAAAGAUUAGUCAUGUUUUGACAUUAAAGAAGUUUUCCAAUCCUUUUAUCAAAAAGAUAACCAAAAAAAAUGGAGAUUUGUUUGUGUAACUUAGAGGCAACCAAGAGCUUGUAAUGUGAUUCAAUUCAAGUGUUUGUGAUGAUAAUUUAGAUGGUAUUUUCCCAUUCAACAUUACCGGCUGGCGUAUGAUUGAUGAGACAACAAGUUGUAACUCAAAAACUUGAAUGAAAGAUGUGAUUGAAACCGUAGUAUGUAGACUAUAGUCAUUGGUGUGACGAUUUUAUGUUGUACCUUUCCUUUAUGAUGUGGAGUACCUCUUUUUUUAUUGGAAUACUGGGUUAAGGAGAUGUUUUGGAGUCAUUAUCGAAUUGUUCUCACUUUUCAUAUGGAAUGUUCGACUAAAAGCAUCUCCAACCCAUAACACUAUUAUAGUAUCAAAACUACACUAUUUUAAUGUAAUUUCAGCAUUAAAAAAAGUUUUUCUCCUAUCAUAACACCAAAUUUAACACUAAAAGCUAUUUUAUAAUAUUAUAUGUAAUUAUAGUUUUAUUUGUCAUUUAUUUAAUUGUUUAUUUUAUUAAUAAAUUAAGUGAAUAGUAUUUAAGUGGAGUGAAUAGUGUUUUAGUGUGGUAAAUAGUGUCACACCAAAUUUGAUAUGAAAUUAUAGUGUUGCACUAAAAUAGUGUGAUUUUUAGUGUUGGGUUGAAAAAGGUUUUAGUGUCAAAAUCACACUAAUAUAGUGUUUUGGAGUUGGAUUGAAGAUGGCCUAAACAACAAAGUUCUCUUAAUGUGUAUGUUUAUAAGGUAAGAUAUAGAUCCACAUUGUUCUAAAAUACUAAUUCAUACUAUGAUCCUCAAAUAAAGGUACAAUCUCCACAAAAUCUGGAAUCCGAAAUCCGAACUGAACCCAAACCAAAAAACCUGACCCGUUAUCCGAUCCAAAAUGUAAAAAUACCCGAACGGAUCUUGUAGAAUGGUACAGAAAAUAUCCGAACUCGAAGUGUUAUUAACCAAACCCGAACGGGUAACCCAAAAAAUCCGAAAUUAAUAGUUAAUAUAAAUAUAUUUAAACAUAUAUAAGUAUUUCAAUUAUCAAAUUCAAUAUUGUGGUAAUACGAUAUAUAAUAAUAAAUAUUAAAAUUUUAAUAAAUAAUUUAAGUACACAAUUAGUUAUAAAUAAGUAUUUUAUAAUUUGCUCAUUGAAAUAAAAAAGUCUACUCUCUAUAAAACAAUACAUAUUGUUUACAAAUAAUGUUUGUUUUCAUGCUUGAUUUAACAUUUUAUUGUUAUUUUAUCUAUUUUAUUUGUGAUAGAUUAAUUUUUAUUUACUUUAGACGUUUUUCUUAUGGUUCAAUUCAAUUCAAGGGAAUGAGAAAGACAAUUCCUUAUGGUUCCCAUAAAAAUGCACCAUUCAUAAGGAAUUAAUUUUCCUUUAUAUUUCUUAUCAUUUUUUUUUGUAGAGAAUAACAAAACAAAAUUAUUUCUCAUUAUUUUUAAGGAGAAAUAAUCAUUCCCACUCAUUCCUUUAAUUUUAUUCCUCUUCGUUCCUUUUUUAUUUGUUCAUAAUGUUCCUCAAAUAGUUACCAGUCACACUCUUUAUGUUUUGCUUUAAAUUUUUUGUUCUUUUACUUCGGUUAUAAUCAAACCAAACCGAUAUAACCCGAAUCCGUACAAUAUUGAUUACUUUAUGGAUUUUAAGAUGCAAUACAAUUUUGAACCGAACCCGAAAUGUUAUUCUCCGAACCCGACUAAUACUAAUCAAAUUUUAGUAUGGGACCUAGGAGCGUAAACCCGAAAACCUAAAAAUCUGAAAACUCCGACCCGAACGCCAACGGAUAUCCGAACUCUUAGGCCUAACUCAAACUAUGAUUUUUACUAUUCAAUGCAAAGAAUCUCUUGUUUGUUUGUUUGACACGACUAAAACAAAAGUACCACUACUUAAAUUAGAUAAAUGUAAAAUCUCCAAAGUUUAUGAAAAAGAAUGUUCCAAUCCAAACCAUUAUGCAAACUCCAAUGAUGAUGAGUCCAAGCUUUUGCAUUGCGGUUGCAACCUCUAUGCCCUAAAAGAACUAUGUAUUUGUUCCUUUUAUCAUUCACGUUUGAAAUAAGGUUUGAUAAAAUGGAGGAAAGAAUAGUUGAAGAUGGAGUUGAUUACUUCAGGACACACUGACUUCACCAAAAAGAACCACUUGAUCCAACUUGGUGUUUCUACGUAUUCUUCUCCUCUACAAA
rnacentral:lncRNA from 1 species